UACGUAGGGGGCAAGCGUUGUCCGGAAUCAUUGGGCGUAAAGCGCGUGUAGGCGGCUCGGUAAGUCCGCUCUGAAAGCCCGGGGCUCAACCCCGGGAGGCGGGUGGAUACUGCUGAGCUCGAGUCCGGAAGAGGAGUGUGGAAUUCCUGGUGUGACGGUGAAAUGCGCAGAUAUCAGGAGGAACACCAAUGGCGAAGGCAGCACUCUGGGACGUGACUGACGCUGAGACGCGAAAGCGUGGGGAGCAAACAGG
rnacentral:rRNA from 1 species